GUCAGGGUGGCGUAGUGGUCAGCGCUUCUGCCUCGUUAGCAGAAGAUUCGGGUUCGAAUUCCGGCCUUGGCA